UCAAGUAAUUGCCCAUAUUGUCACCAUGGUAAUAAUGGGCAGGUUGCUGAAUCCAGAAUGUCACUAUGAUGGUGAAGAAUGAGCUGCUGAAUCCAUAAUGUCACCAUGGUAACAAUGGGUGACACUACUUAAUCCAGAAUGUCACCAUAGUAACAACAGGUUAACUACUGAAUCCAGUAUGUCACCAUGGUAAACAUGGAUGAGGCUGCUGAAUCCAGAAUGUCACCAUGGUAAUGAUGGGUAAGCUGCUGAAUCCAGAUGCAGAUAUCCUUCACAUUCUAGGUAUUACAGUGUGACAGUGGCAACAGAAUUUUGUUUAAUGGAUGAAGACAUUUUCUGAAGAAGGCAGCCCGGUAAUGUGUGUGUUGUGUGUGAAGUAAGGAUCUCUCUACCAGGAAUGUCUGCAGCAGAGUGACCAACUGGCUAGUGGCUUGAGGAGUUGGGCCACAAGCAAGGAACAAAGCCUCUCGGGGGCGUGAGUGUCAGCUGUGCUGGGAACCCUGGUCUGACUCUUCUUCUCACAUCCGAUGAGGAAGAGAGGAGCACACUGCACUGCAUUCUUGCAGAACAAAUGCUGGGUCUCAGGAGGCCUGAGCCAGCUUCACAGCUCUGCCACCCUCAUGUUCACAGCCAAGGAUGAGUCAUUAUACACCUUUGCUUUGCACCUCAGCAAAAUGGCGAUGAUGUUGGAGGUGUCUAAGUCCCUGGUAUCACUCCCUCCCCUCACCAUGGAGAUUGUGUGGUGACUGUGCAGCACGCUAGAUGCAGGAGGUGAGCACAGGCCUCCUUGCCAGCUUUGUUCCAUCCUCAGGAUCCCUUGCCUGGCGGGCACACUGCCUAUUGAUAGCGUGUGAGUCUGCUUCCAAACACCCUGCCAGGCAGAGGCCAGAGAAGAUGACUUGGGAGUGGGCCUGGGCCUCCAUUUUGUGACUCCAGCUUGCUCCUUCCUCAGCCAGGUGGCCUUCUCCUGGCUGUACCACAGGACAUGACACAAGCCAAGAGCAUUCCCUGGAAGGCAGCCUGGUGCUGGCCCAUCUAAGAACUCAUGGAGGUGUGAAGACCCAUCUUUGCAGCCUCCCCAGGAGGGUGAAGAGGAUGUUCUGAUGCUGACUGACUUUCCCGCAGCUGGAUUUGUAGCACCAGCGAAAUGCAAAGGGGCAAAUCCUAGAAGAGCAUUCGCCUGGCUUCUUAACUCCAAGUCUCCUCAGAGUGUUCUACCUCCAGUUUUCCUCCAACCCAAAACACAAAUCAAUUGUGUCCUUUUCAUAAUUAAAAGUGUCAUUGGA